rnacentral:rRNA from 1 species
AUUGAACGCUGGCGGCGUGCCUAAUACAUGCAAGUAGAACGCAGUUGCGAACGGGGGAGUGACGCGUAGGUAACUGCGGGGUAGCGGGGGAUGACUAGUGGACACGAAAGCUAAUACCGUAUACUACCAGAUGGACCUGUGUUUUAUUAGGUAGUUGGGGAGGUAACGGGGCACCAAGGCAACGAUACAUAGCCGACCUGAGAGGUGGAGCGGCCCCACUGGGACUGAGACACGGCCCAGACUCCUACGGGAGGCAGCAGUAGGGAAUCUUCGGCAAUGGGGGGAACUCUGACCGAGCAACGCCGCGGGAGUGAAGAAGGUUUUCGGAUCGUAAAGCUCUGUUGUUAAGGAAGCGGUACUUAACCAGAAAGGGACGGCUAACUACGUGCCAGCCGCCGCGGUAAUAC